CAGCCGCCACGGGAAUACGAAGGGUGCAAGCGUUACUCGGAAUUACUGGGCGUAAAGCGUGCGUAGGUGGUGGUUUAAGUCCGUUGUGAAAGCCCUGGGCUCAACCUGGGAAUUGCAGUGGAUACUGGAUCACUAGAGUGUGGUAGAGGAUAGUGGAAUUUCCGGUGUAGCAGUGAAAUGCGUAGAGAUCGGAAGGAACAUCUGUGGCGAAGGCGACUAUCUGGGCCAACACUGACACUGAGGCACGAAAGCGUGGGGAGCAAACAGGAUUAGAUACCCGUGUAGUCCAUGUCUAUUAUAA
rnacentral:rRNA from 1 species